AGCACCGGCUAACUACGUGCCAGCAGCCGCGGUAAUACGUAGGGUGCAAGCGUUAUCCGGAAUUAUUGGGCGUAAAGGGCUCGUAGGCGGUUCGUCGCGUCCGGUGUGAAAGUCCAUCGCUUAACGGUGGAUCUGCGCCGGGUACGGGCGGGCUGGAGUGCGGUAGGGGAGACUGGAAUUCCCGGUGUAACGGUGGAAUGUGUAGAUAUCGGGAAGAACACCAAUGGCGAAGGCAGGUCUCUGGGCCGUUACUGACGCUGAGGAGCGAAAGCGUGGGGAGCGAACAGGAUUAGAUACCCUGGUAGUCCACGCCGUAAACGGUGGAUGCUGGAUGUGGGGCCCGUUCCACGGGUUCCGUGUCGGAGCUAACGCGUUAAGCAUCCCGCCUGGGGAGUACGGCCGCAAGGCUAAAACUCAAAGAAAUUGACGGGGGCCCGCACAAGCGGCGGAGCAUGCGGAUUAAUUCGAUGCAACGCGAAGAACCUUACCUGGGCUUGACAUGUUCCCGACGACGCCAGAGAUGGCGUUUCCCUUCGGGGCGGGUUCACAGGUGGUGCAUGGUCGUCGUCAGCUCGUGUCGUGAGAUGUUGGGUUAAGUCCCGCAACGAGCGCAACCCUCGCCCUGUGUUGCCAGCACGUCAUGGUGGGAACUCACGGGGGACCGCCGGGGUCAACUCGGAGGAAGGUGGGGAUGACGUCAGAUCAUCAUGCCCCUUACGUCCAGGGCUUCACGCAUGCUACAAUGGCCGGUACAACGGGAUGCGACACGGCGACGUGGAGCGGAUCCCUGAAAACCGGUCUCAGUUCGGAUUGGAGUCUGCAACCCGACUCCAUGAAGGCGGAGUCGCUAGUAAUCGCGGAUCAGCAACGCCGCGGUGAAUGCGUUCCCGGGCCUUGUACACACCGCCCGUCAAGUCAUGAAAGUGGGUAGCACCCGAAGCCGGUGGCCUAACCCUUUGUGGAUGGAGCCGUCUAAGGUGAGACUCGUGAUUGGGACUAAGUCGUAACAAGGUAGCCGUACCGGAAGGUGCGGCUG
rnacentral:rRNA from 1 species